rnacentral:tRNA from 2 species
GGCCAGGUAGCUCAGUCGGUAGAGCAGUGGACUGAAAAUCCUCGUGUCGGCAGUUCGAUUCUGUCCCUGGCCACCA